AUGUUCGACAACUACGACCUGUGCGGCGCGGCCAACGACCGCGCGAGCAAGCUGUUCCGCGCCGACAAGGACGUGGGCGCCCGCAUGUCUUUCCACACCGCCGACGUCGCGGACCUCGCUGGCGAGCUCGCCGCGUACGACGUCGUCUUCCUGGCCGCGCUCGUGGGCAUGGCUGCCGAGGACAAGGCCAAGGUGAUCGCGCACCUCGGCGCGCAUAUGGCGGACGGGGCGGCCCUCGUCGUGCGCAGCGCGCACGCCGCGCGUGGGUUCCUGUACCCGAUCGUCGAUCCCCAGGACAUCGGUCGCGGCGGGUUCGAGGUGCUGGCCGUGUGUCACCCCGACGACGACGUGGUGAACUCCGUCAUCAUCGCACAGAAGUCCAAGGACAUGCAUGCCAAUGAACACCGCAACGGGCGUGGUGGACAGUACGCACGGUGUUAG
rnacentral:rRNA from 1 species